rnacentral:rRNA from 1 species
GCGUGUGUGAAGAAGGCCUUAGGGUUGUAAAGCACUUUAAGCAGGAAAGAAAAGCGCCGGGUUAAUACCCCGAGCGUAUUGACGGUACCUGCAGAAUAAGCACCGGCUAACUCCGUGCCAGCAGCCGCGGUAAUACGGAGGGUGCGAGCGUUAAUCGGAAUUACUGGGCGUAAAGCGAGUGCAGGCGGUUGCGUGUGUCGGGUGUGAAAGCCCCGGGCUUAACCUGGGAAUGGCAUCCGAAACUGCGUAACUAGAAUAUGGUAGAGGAAGACGGAAUUCCACGUGUAGCGGUGAAAUGCGUAGAUAUGUGGAGGAACACCAAUGGCGAAGGCAGUCUUCUGGGCCUAUAUUGACGCUGAGGCUCGAAAGCGUGGGUAGCAAACAGGAUUAGAUACCCUGGUAGUCCACGCCGUAAACGAUGAGAACUAGACGUU